UGUAUUGUGUUUGCGUGUCUUGCUUUGAUAUCGUACAUCGUAAUGGUGGUGGCUUCUCUUCUUGUCAUUAACUGGUUAAAGGAGCAGCGUAAUAGAUGUACUAUAGUUUCUAUUGUUUCAAAUGUGGCAACAUGUAUACUUAUACCACUUACUCUGGGUUUAUACGUCAUCACCAUAGAAGAUUAUUCUUUAGAAGUGGUGUUUUACCUAAUGAUCGUUAGUAAUGUAUUAGUUGUUAUUACUGCGGGCCUGCGGAUUUUAGACUUCAAGCUUCCGGAACCAAAGAAGCGAAUACCUUUUAGUGUACCACCACUUACUACAAUAAACCAAAACAUCAAAACACCCAUGUCAAAAGUUCAAAGGAAAACUGAAAAUAAGCUAAAGCCCGCAAUUUUACCUCAACGAUAUUUCCCUAAACCUUCGGAUAAAAGACAUACUCAUCCUUUCUACAAAAAAGAUGUGGACCCAUUAUUUGUUAAAGUGUUAUAUGCAAAGGACAAAGAUUCUGAUAAAUUGAGAGCAGUCAGACCUAUCAAUGUAAGCGUCAAAUGAAAAUAUUAAACAUAAAGCCGUUAUACAUUUCGAUCAAAGCAAACUUACUCUGUAACCUACAUUGAAAAGUACGUUUUUCUUUGUUGGUAGUAGCAAAUCUACAAAUAAAAAUGUAUAUACCGAUAUCAACCUAG